AGACGCGUCUGGCUCUGCCUCUCUGUGCCGAGCGCUGGCGAUCGGAGUCACCCGGCCUUGUUCUGAGGCUGGGCACCAAGCUCCUGUCGCUGGCUACACUGAGAGUGCUCCCAAAUUCAAACCCAGAUCCUUCUGCCAGGCAGAAGCACGGGUUCAAAGAUGGAGUUUACUGGAAAAGGAAAAACCUCUGAAGGAAAAGAUCUGACUGGUUACAGUCUUACCGAGAAGGUUCCUCUGGACAAUUCCCAUGGUGCCUUACCCGCAAAGUCCUUGCCUGCUGUACAGAAGAGAUCUCUUUCCUCCAAGCUCAGGAAGAAGCUGCUGCCUGAAUGAACAGUGUUUGAAGAACAGGAUUUAUAUGUUAGGCUUCAUAGUUAGAGAUGUACAUAUGUUCUAAUCUUUAGAUGUAGUUUUGAAUAAAUGUGUUUUGAUUGUACCUUUAAA